rnacentral:rRNA from 1 species
AUGGGUNGUAAACUUCUUUUAUACGGGAAUAAAGUGAGGCACGUGUGCCUUUUUGUAUGUACCGUAUGAAUAAGGAUCGGCUAACUCCGUGCCAGCAGCCGCGGUAAUACGGAGGAUCCGAGCGUUAUCCGGAUUUAUUGGGUUUAAAGGGAGCGUAGGCGGACGCUUAAGUCAGUUGUGAAAGUUUGCGGCUCAACCGUAAAAUUGCAGUUGAUACUGGGUGUCUUGAGUACAGUAGAGGCAGGCGGAAUUCGUGGUGUAGCGGUGAAAUGCUUAGAUAUCACGAAGAACUCCGAUUGCGAAGGCAGCCUGCUGGACUGUAACUGACGCUGAUGCUCGAAAGUGUGGGUAUCAAACAGGAUUAGAUACCCUGGUAGUCCACACAGUAAACGAUGAAUACUCGCUGUUUGCGAUAUACAGUAAGCGGCCAAGCGAAAGCGUUAAGUAUUCCACCUGGGAGUACGCCGGCAACGGUGAAACUCAAAGGAAUUGACGGGGGCCCGCACAAGCGGAGGAACAUGUGGUUUAAUUCGAUGAUACGCGAGGAACCUUACCCGGGCUUGAAUUGCAACUGAAUGAUGUGGAGACAUGUCAGCCGCAAGGCAGUUGUGAAGGUGCUGCAUGGUUGUCGUCAGCUCGUGCCGUGAGGUGUCGGCUUAAGUGCCAUAACGAGCGCAACCCUUAUCGAUAGUUACCAUCANGUUAUGCUGGGGACUCUGUCGAGACUGCCGUCGUAAGAUGUGAGGAANGUGGA